ACCAGGUCUUGACAUCCCGAUGCUAUUCUAGAGAUAGAAAGUUACUUCGGUACAUCGGUGACAGGUGGUGCAUGGUUGUCGUCAGCUCGUGUCGUGAGAUGUUGGGUUAAGUCCCGCAACGAGCGCAACCCCUAUUGUUAGUUGCCAUCAUUCAGUUGGGGACUCUAGCGAGACUGCCGGUAAUAAACCGGAGGAAGGUGGGGAUGACGUCAAAUCAUCAUGCCCCUUAUGACCUGGGCUACACACGUGCUACAAUGGUUGGUACAACGAGUUGCGAGUCGGUGACGGCGAGCUAAUCUCUUAAAGCCAAUCUCAGUUCGGAUUGUAGGCUGCAACUCGCCUACAUGAAGUCGGAAUCGCUAGUAAUCGCGGAUCAGCACGCCGCGGUGAAUACGUUCCCGGGCCUU
rnacentral:rRNA from 1 species